rnacentral:rRNA from 1 species
CCUACGGGUGGCAGCAGUGGGGAAUAUUGCACAAUGGGGGAAACCCUGAUGCAGCAACGCCGCGUGGGUGAAGGAGCGUUUCGGCGCGUACAGCUCUGUCAGCGGGGAAGAAGAAAGACGGUACUCGACCAAGAAGCCCCGGCUAACUACGUGCCAGCAGCCGCGGGAAGCCGUAGGGGGCGAGCGUUAGCCGGAAGUACUGGGUGUAAAGGGAGCGUAGACGGCGAGGUAAGCCUGAAGUGGAAGCCCGCGGCGCAACCGCGGAACUGCUUUGGGAACUGUUUUGCUGGAGUAUGGGAGGGGUAAGCGGAAUUCCUGGUGUAGCAGUGAAAUGCGUAGAUAUCAGGAGGAACACCAGUGGCGAAGGCGUCUCACGAGUCCACGAUUGACGCUGAUGCACGAAAGCGUGGGUAGCAAACAGGAUUAGAUACCCCGGUAGUC